rnacentral:rRNA from 1 species
UACGAAGGGGGCUAGCGUUGCUCGGAAUCACUGGGCGUAAAGCGCACGUAGGCGGGUCGUUAAGUCGGGGGUGAAAUCCUGGAGCUCAACUCCAGAACUGCCUUCGAUACUGGCGAUCUUGAGUCUGGGAGAGGUGAGUGGAACUCCGAGUGUAGAGGUGAAAUUCGUAGAUAUUCGGAAGAACACCAGUGGCGAAGGCGGCAUCCUGGACCGGCAUUGACGCUGAGGAGCGAAAGCCAGGGGAGCAAACGGG